rnacentral:rRNA from 1 species
AAACACUUGUGCACCUUUGAAAGAAGGGGGGAAACCUUCCCCCUUCUUAUUUACAUACACCGCUUCUAUAAUGUCGAAUGUGAUCUUGUGCCUUUUCCUUUAAGGAGGGCCUGACUUAAUGUUAAUACAACUUUUAACAACGGAUCUCUUGGCUCUCGCAUCGAUGAAGAACGCAGCGAAAUGCGAUAAGUAAUGUGAAUUGCAGAAUUCAGUGAAUCAUCGAAUCUUUGAACGCACCUUGCGCUCCCCGGUAUUCCAGGGAGCACACCUGUUCGAGUGUCGUGAAAUUCUCAAGCUUAUAGAUUGUUUUUCAUCUUAGGCUUGGUUGUUGGGCUUUGCCGUGCCCCUCUUUAUUGAGGGAACGGCUGGCCUUAAAAGCAUUAGCUGACUCUCGUGUAGGAUUGGUUCUACUCAGCGUGAUAAUAAUUCUGACCGCCGAGGACAUCUUUCGGGAUGGCCAAUUCUUGCUUGGGUUGCUUCAAACUCUGGUUUACAGAUCUCUAUAUCUGUUCCACUAUCAAGUUUGACCUCGAAUCAGGUGGGACUACCCGCUGAACUUAAGCAUAUCAAUAAGCGGAGGAAAAGAAACUAACAAGGAUUCCCCUAGUAACGGCGAGUGAAGCGGGAAGAGCUCAAAUUUAAAAUCUGGCAGUCUUUGAUUGUCCGAGUUGUAAU